GUCCCUGUAGAGCAAUGGAUAGCGCGUUGGACUUCUAAUUCUAAGGUCGUAGGUUCGAAUCCUACCUGGGAUG
rnacentral:tRNA from 1 species